GCCAACCCACAUCUCCCUUAAACCUUUCUUUUAAUUUUCAAGUGCGCAGACGAAAACGUCGCUGCCGACCACCAGUCUGAACCGACCAAACCUGCUUGUUACGCCUGCGGUUCGUGUGUUGAACGGUACAAAAGACCGCUGAGCACCACUACCACGUUGAUCGGUCGUUCGUUCGUUGUACACUCGGAAGCGCAAUAUCUUCGAUCCAUCACCAUACCAUCGACUAGUGGUGAUCUAAAGAUCUGUGGCGAACCUACAUUGCACCACGCCGGUCGUCUUUUCUCUUCGACAUAAGGUAUCGGCACUAACCUGUUGGUAAAAACACUUUAUGAAAACGAAGCUGGUGAAUAAAAUAGUGACACUAUGAACAAACAAAUUUAUUUCACAUACAUAAACUUAGUUUCCUUCAAGUCGACAGAACUGGUGUAA
rnacentral:lncRNA from 1 species